rnacentral:rRNA from 1 species
CCUACGGGAGACAGCAGUGAGGAAUAUUGGUCAAUGGCCGGGAGGCUGAACCAGCCAAGUCGCGUGAGGGAAGACGGCCCUACGGGUUGUAAACCUCUUUUGUCAGGGAGCAAGGUGCAGGUCGGGACCUGCUGUGAGAGUACCUGAAGAAAAAGCAUCGGCUACCUCCGUGCCAGCAGCCGCGGUAAUACGGAGGAUGCGAGCGUUAUCCGGAUUUAUUGGGUUUAAAGGGUGCGCAGGCGGAGGCACAAGUCAGCGGUAAAAUCGCGUGGCUCAACCCCGCUCCGCAGUUGAAACUGUGGCCCUUGAGUGCGCGAAGGGUAGGCGGAAUGCGUGGUGUAGCGGUGAAAUGCAAAGAUAUCACGCAGAACUCCGAUCGCGAAGGCAGCCUACCGGCGCGCAACUGACGCUCAUGCACGAAAGCGUGGGUAUCGAACAGGAUUAGAUACCCCAGUAGUC